rnacentral:rRNA from 1 species
AUUGAACGCUGGCGGCAGGCCUAACACAUGCAAGUCGAACGGUAACAGGAAGAAGCUUGCUUCUUUGCUGCCGAGUGGCGGACGGGUGAGUAAUGUCUGGGAAACUGCCUGAUGGAGGGGGAUAACUACUGGAAACGGUAGCUAAUACCGCAUAACGUCGCAAGACCAAAGAGGGGGACCUUCGGGCCUCUUGCCAUCGGAUGUGCCCAGAUGGGAUUAGCUAGUAGGUGGGGUAACGGCUCACCUAGGCGACGAUCCCUAGCUGGUCUGAGAGGAUGACCAGCCACACUGGAACUGAGACACGGUCCAGACUCCGACGGGAGGCAGCAGUGGGGAAUAUUGCACAAUGGGCGCAAGCCUGAUGCAGCCAUGCCGCGUGUAUGAAGAAGGCCUUCGGGUUGUAAAGUACUUUCAGCGGGGAGGAAGGGAGUAAAGUUAAUACCUUUACUCAUUGACGUUACCCGCAGAAGAAGCACCGGCUAACUCCGUG